GUUCAUCUGCAACGUUUGCUCGACAAACAUAACUGCUUACAUGUUACAAAAAAAUCUAUCCCUAAUUCUACUCCACUAACAGCUCCACGUUCAUGGUGGUUUACAACCGAUCCAUCUUCUAUAUAAAUCCAAUUUGCCUUGAUUCUCUCUUCAAUUUUCUCUGUAUUUACCUCCUCUUCAUUGUUUGUUUUCUUCUGGUUUUGCAAUUCUCACGCUGUUUCAGGUUGAAGAUGCCUCUGAAUUUUACUCCUCUCAAAUCUAAAUUCUUUGAAAAAAGAAUGGAAGAUCAGACUUCUAAUAGCCCGAACAUAUUGUCUUUGGGGAUUUCCAAAAAAGGAUAAACCAGAAGAAUUUUCAAGAAUGUAAUCUUCUCCUUGUGGAUGAAAAGGGAAGUAGGUUACAAUCCAAAACUUAACAGUGCUCUCUCUCUCGACGCAGUUAUCUGAGCUAUUUUCUGGUUGGAGAUUAUGUUGUUUCCCACGGCGACGAGUUGGGGUAAUGUUUUCACGCUUUUUGGCCUUUUUCGUCAAAUCAGUAGCUUUUGCCUCGGUGAGUGAGGUUCUUAUAGUACGCUUCAUUUCUUAGAGUACAAAAAACUGGUUGCCUGAGUUUUUCAUUCUUAAAUGAUGUAAAGCAUCUUUGUGUCUA